CCGUAGCUCAGUUGGAUGAGAGUAAUGGUUUCCGAAGCCAUAGGUCGCAGGUUCAAAUCCUGUCGGG
rnacentral:tRNA from 1 species